AAUCGUGGUAGCCCCUCUUCCUGGGUGGCUCCAAUGAUGAGCAAACUGAGCCUCUGAGAAGUCGUCUGAAGAGGCAGCUUCCUC